GGUAAACAGGUACAUGUGUAGAAGUUACACAAAGCCCACCUCCGUGACAGCUUGUUGUUCUGUCAGACCCAGUUCUCCAUGAACACCAAAAAAAUACAUAAACCACCAGACUCUCUUGUUUGACUUAUUCCAUAUACCCCUUAGCAGAUAUCGGUUGUUUGUUUUUGUUCCAUGAAACUUAUCUAGAUAAGUCCACAAUUUUCCAGGCCUUCCUUCCUUUACCCCAAACAUCCCCACCCAUUCUUAGGUCAGGUGUUACAACCUUUGAUGGCCUAGAAUACAGUAAUAUUUAUUUUAAGUGUAGGUUCGUUUAUUUUGUUUUCCAUCUACCUUUCCUGUUAAAAUGAAAACACAAAGGUCUACCCCUCUGCACUUUGUUCCUGGGGUAUUUCCUGUUGGUACCAUUUUGAUCCUGCCCAGAUCCUCCCUGUAAUCUUGCCAUCUCUCUUUGCGACAUCGCUCUUCAGGCACACCCUGGAUGACGCACUGCCAUUUCUCAGCUCAUUACAUUGUGUGGCUACAAGUCCUGCUGCAAAACCAGCAUGGAAAGAAACAACACGCAAGAAUAACAAAGCUCGUCCAGCCUCAGAGGUGGAUAUGCAGCUACUGUUACACAGGAGCAGAGGGGAAAAGCAAAAGUAGUAAGUGAAGAGGGUUAUACGUUGUGCUCCAGCUGAGACACUGUGCACCCCAUCAAAAAAGCUGGGAUCUUCAUCCUGCUUUCCCUCACCUCUGGUAUAAUCAGAUGAAAUGUCCAUAGUAAGGUACAAACCUGCUUAUUUCUAGGAAUCUGAGCUUAGGUUU
rnacentral:lncRNA from 14 species